rnacentral:rRNA from 1 species
UCCGUAGGCGGGCUAAUAAGUCAGGGGUGAAAUCCCACAGCUCAACUGUGGAACUGCCUUUGAUACUGGUUGUCUUGAGUUAUAGUGAAGUAGAUAGAAUAUGUAGUGUAGCGGUGAAAUGCAUAGAUAUUACAUAGAAUACCGAUUGCGAAGGCAGUCUACUAACUGUAUACUGACGCUAAUGGACGAAAGCGUGGGGAGCGAACAGGAUUAGAUACCCUGGUAGUCC